UACGUAGGGGGCGAGCGUUGUCCGGAUUUAUUGGGCGUAAAGGGCUUGUAGGUGGCCACGUCAAGUCGGAUGUGAAAUCUCCCGGCUCAACUGGGAGGGGUCAUUCGAUACUGGCGGGCUCGAGGCCGGUAGGGGGAAGCGGAAUUCCCGGUGUAGUGGUGGAAUGCGUAGAUAUCGGGAGGAACACCGAUGGCGAAGGCAGGUCUCUGGGCCGCAACUGACGCUGAGGAGCGAAAGCAUGGGGAGCGAACAGG
rnacentral:rRNA from 1 species